AAACAUGGUUCUAAGAAAAUAAUUUAGAAUCUAACCUGCUCAAUGCUCUUGUAAAUAGCCGCAGUAUCUUAACUGUGCAAAGGUAGCAUAAUCAUUAGUCUUUUAAUUAAGGACUGGAAUGAAUGGUUGGACUAAAUAAUUAUGUCUCAUCAUUAUAUUUCAAAUUUUAUAUUUUAGUAAAAAAGCUAAGAUUUAUUUUAAAGACAAGAAGACCCUAUCAAGCUUUAUAAUUUAAAUUUAACAUCAAUAUAAAUAAAAAAAUUAUUUUACUGGGGCAGUAAGUAGUCUAAUACUACUUGAAUAUUAUGAUCUCAAUUCUUGAAAUAUCAAAAAGUUUUUAAACAGGAAUAAGUUACUGUAGGGAUAACAGCAUAAUUUUAUUAAAGAGUUCUUAUCAUCAAUAAAGUUUGUGACCUCGAUGUUGGAUUAAGAAUCCUAUUUCACGCAAUAGUUAAAUUAGGGAGUCUGUUCGACUUUUAAACUCUUCCAUGAUCUGA
rnacentral:rRNA from 1 species